GAGUGCGCGUUUCCGUAGCAAUACGGAAAUGGCGCACGGCGCACGGGUGCGUAACACGUGGGCAAUCUGCCCUUCGAUGGGGAAUAACCCCGGGAAACCGGGGCUAAUUCCGCAUAACAUUCCGAUGACUAACGUUGUUGGAUUCAAAGCCGCAAGGCGUCGGAGGAGGAGCCCGCGCACGAUUAGCUAGUUGGUGAGGUAACGGCUCACCAAGGCUAUGAUCGUUAGCUGGUCUGAGAGGAUGGCCAGCCACACUGGAACUGAGACACGGUCCAGACUCCUACGGGAGGCAGCAGUGGGGAAUCUUGCACAAUGGGCGAAAGCCUGAUGCAGCGACGCCGCGUGGGGGAUGAAGCUUUUCGGAGUGUAAACCCCUUUCGACCCGGACGAAUGCCCCGCAAGGGGACUGACGGUACGGGUAUAAGAAGCCCCGGCUAACUACGUGCCAGCAGCCGCGG
rnacentral:rRNA from 1 species